rnacentral:rRNA from 1 species
UACCAGCACCCCGAGUGGUCGGGACGUUUUAUUGGGCCUAAAGCAUCCGUAGCCGGUUCUACAAGUCUUCCGUUAAAUCCACCUGCUUAACAGAUGGGCUGCGGAAGAUACUAUGGAGCUAGGAGGCGGGAGAGGCAAGCGGUACUCGAUGGGUAGGGGUAAAAUCCGUUGAUCCAUUGAAGACCACCAGUGGCGAAGGCGGCUUGCCAGAACGCGCUCGACGGUGAGGGAUGAAAGCUGGGGGGAGCAAACCGGG